rnacentral:sRNA from 1 species
UUAUCAUAGUAACUGCCGAAGACAGUAGGUGCCGUAAGGCAUAAGGAUGAAAACGCCUACCGAGGAAGACAAGAAUCAUAUGAUUGAAUUCUUAAACCUCUAUGUUCCGGCAUGGAGGUUUUUUUAUAA